UACAGAGGUGGCAAGCGUUGUUCGGAAUUACUGGGCGUAAAGGGCUCGUAGGCGGCCAACUAAGUCAGACGUGAAAUCCCUCGGCUUAACCGGGGAACUGCGUCUGAUACUGGAUGGCUUGAGGUUGGGAGAGGGAUGCGGAAUUCCAGGUGUAGCGGUGAAAUGCGUAGAUAUCUGGAGGAACACCGGUGGCGAAGGCGGCAUCCUGGACCAAUUCUGACGCUGAGUGAGCGAAAGCCAGGGGAGCAAACGGG
rnacentral:rRNA from 1 species